ensembl:lncRNA
CCUGCAUCCGGGCGGCGCCGGGCUGCGGUGAGGCGGAGAGCGGCGUGCGGACGCAAUCUUCCACUUGGAAAGGGCCUCCCAAGGAUCCCUGGUAUCCUCUGAGAGCUCUGAGCUGCCGCACCAAUUUGAAGCUGACUUCAUUUUUGGUCUUCCCCUUCAGCAGAAAAGCUCAGACAGCCGAGCCAAGUGAGACGCUGGAUUUCCUUUGGCAUCAAGGAAAGCAUCGUGAGAUGUUCUGAUGCCCUCUCACAAUUCUUUCUCCCUCCGCCAGCACCAGAGCUGGCGUCCAAAGAUGCAAUGACACUGCCACAGGCAUUGUGGAGAUUUCUAUGGGAUAGGCCCAUGGUUCUUUCUGCCUGCUCUUCUUAGCCCUGCGCCUGAGAAGUCUGACUGAGUCACAUGCCAGAAGUGGAAGCCGGGAUGGAGUGCCUUGCGAUGCCUGUG